rnacentral:lncRNA from 1 species
GUCCCUCCGUUUUAGCUGCCGCCGCGGCGGCCGCCGAGCGCGCUCUUUCCGCCCCCUUCUCGCGCGUGAGCGCGCCCUAUCGGCUCCUGGCGCGUCAACAUUCCGCGGGCCAGGCCUUGGGGCGCGUCUGAGGAGGGGGAUGUCUGUGGCCUCUCCGCCCACACUUCCUCCACCCACCGCCCACAGCGCCCCAGAAGGACCUAUUACUCGUUUGGCUUCUGAAGGCCGAAGCCAGGCUCUGGCGGGGAUAGAACCCUGAAGGGCCUGCGCCAGCUCCAACUUAGGGCCCUGUGCGUCGUUGCGACUUCUGCUACCACCCUAUCACGCGGCACCCCCGCCCCAACUCCGCCCGGGUCUCUGAAGAGGCAAUAGGCCUUUCAUCUCCGGGGAAAGUCUCACCUUGGCCCUCAGACACCCGCCAAGAGGGGUCGGAAGGACAGAAUUAGCAUAGAGAAGAGUGGCUAGAGCACUUUUCAGGCUCUGGCCCCAGGAAUCCUUGACAGGAAGCGUGGGGUUGCUGCCCAGCCUCCCACGCAGUGUAAUAUGUUGAAGCCGGGCCCCUUUGAGGGAAUGCGACUUCCUUGGGCCGAGGGGGAAAGGGCAGUGCCUGAUGGCUGAGAAGAAUCGCAGAGGACUAGAAAAGGUUUGAGUCUGAAAUUAUCUGGCACAGAGGAUUAAAGCUCAGAAAUAAGUGAUUGCGAAACAGUUCAACUUCCCUGUUAAUGACAACAACAACAGCAACACGCUUAUUAAUUCCUAGCUGGAGCAUCAAGCUUAUGAAGAUUUCCAAGACUUUAUUGUUGACCCUUGUUGAAGAGAACUCUACUUGGCUUCUUUCCUGGCUUUCCUAAAUUGUUCACAUACAAGAUAAACUACCGUCAUUCAGACUUACAGAAGUGAGAAGACAAGCUGAACCAAAUGUAAAAUGGUAGCAAUUUACAGAUGUCAGAACUAACAUGUGGAUGAACUUAGAGAUGGAGAAGAAAGCUGGGCUUUUCCAAAGAGUGGAUCUAUCUGAACUGGAUAGCACUAUUGAACUUUGUUGCAUAUUUUGUGGUAGCUCUAAAACUCCUCUGCUUGCUUACAUACAACCAGACACCAGUGCCUUCUGAAGCUAAUCCAGGCCAUUUUUAUAACCUAAUGCAGUAGCACUUUGCAAUUAGAUGAAGAAGAUCGGUGGGAUUUCUUUCUGUGGUGAUUAAAAUGUGUCAGGGGAAGAAAUCAAGACAAUACUCCAAGUGAAAAAUAUAAAGUCAGUUAUUUCUUUAAUAUUUUG